rnacentral:ncRNA from 1 species
AACACAUAGUCGGGGGGCCAAAGCAAAUAUGCGGCGGCUGAGAUCGAAUUUCGAGACCCGUUGAACCUGAUUCAGUUAGCACUGACGUAGGGAACUAUCAACACUUUGCC